AACGAACGCUGGCGGCGUGGAUAAGACAUGCAAGUCGAGCGAGAUUUUUUCUAGUAGCAAUACCGGGAAAAGUCUAGCGGCGAACGGGUGCUUAACACGUGGGCAACCUGCCGUGAAGUGGGGGAUAGCUCGCCGAAAGGCGAAUUAAUACCGCAUGUGAUUAGAGAGGACAUCCUUUCGAAAUUAAAGUCGGGGCAACCUGACGCUUCUUGUGGGGCCCGCGGCCUAUCAGCUAGUUGGUGAGGUAACGGCUCACCAAGGCUUUGACGGGUAGCUGGUCUGAGAGGACGACCAGCCACACUGGGACUGAGACACGGCCCAGACACCUACGGGUGGCAGCAGUCGAGAAUUUUUGACAAUGGGGGAAACCCUGAUCGAGCGACGCCGCGUGGAGGAUGAA
rnacentral:rRNA from 1 species